UACGAAGGGGACUAGCGUUGUUCGGAAUCACUGGGCGUAAAGAGCUCGUAGGUGGCCUGUCGCGUCGGCUGUGAAAACUCGGGGCUCAACUCCGAGCUUGCAGUCGAUACGGGCAGGCUAGAGUUCGGCAGGGGAGACUGGAAUUCCUGGUGUAGCGGUGAAAUGCGCAGAUAUCAGGAGGAACACCGGUGGCGAAGGCGGGUCUCUGGGCCGAUACUGACACUGAGGAGCGAAAGCGUGGGGAGCGAACAGG
rnacentral:rRNA from 1 species